rnacentral:rRNA from 1 species
UGGGGAAUUUUGGACAAUGGGCGCAAGCCUGAUCCAGCAAUGCCGCGUGCAGGAUGAAGGCCUUCGGGUUGUAAACUGCUUUUGUACGGAGCGAAAAGGUCUGCCCUAAUACGGUGGGCUCAUGACGGUACCGUAAGAAUAAGCACCGGCUAACUACGUGCCAGCAGCCGCGGUAAUGCGGAGGGUGCGAGCGUUAAUCGGAAUUACUGGGCGUAAAGCGUGCGCAGGCGGUUAUAUAAGACAGGUGUGAAAUCCCCGGGCUCAACCUGGGACCUGCAUUUGUGACCGUAUAGCUAGAGUACGGUAGAGGGGGAUGGAAUUCCGCGUGUAGCAGUGAAAUGCGUAGAUAUGCGGAGGAACACCGAUGGCGAAGGCAAUCCGCUGGACCUGUACUGACGCUCAUGCACGAAAGCGUGGGGAGCAAACA